GCAAAGCAUUCAGCAACUUUCAUACGAAAUUGCUCUAAUGGGAAGUUUGAUGAUGAAGCUGAUCAUAUUGCCAAUCUUGAUUCUGGGUGGAUCAAUCCCUUGUUCUUUCGGAGUUGAAUUUGAAAGCUUGGCUUCAAAGAAGGGAAGGUUUGGUUCUCAAGUAGCAGGGAAAGCAAAAGCUGGGAAGGACAGCUACUUGGGUUUUGAAGAUGUGAAGAGAAACCAGAUGAUGGGAAAGUUGAGGGAAUAUGAAAAUAUAAUAACUACUUCAGCUUCCAAGCAAAACGUUUAUGCCAAUUUCAGAUACAAUCAGAUGAUAAUGCGUAGACUAUUUCAAGUACGAUCUUCUCCAGCUGUAUAUGCUCCAGGUAGUCGGAGUCCUCAAGGUUCUGGUCCUUGAUUAUGCACUGGGAUGGAACAGUGUAAUAUCGAAAU
rnacentral:misc_RNA from 1 species